rnacentral:ncRNA from 2 species
AAUUUAAGAAUAUAAAAUGGUUGUCUUACUUGUGUAAAGUAUAGACAUUAAAAGGGAAUUCAGUUUAAAUCUGGAACUGUCCCGCAGCUGUAAACUCAUAUACUGAAGCCCAUUCAAUGGCCACUUUUUUUUAAAGGGGAAGGCUGGGUGGAAGGAGUAAGUCAGAAGACCUGCCAUUUUAAUAAUUCAUUG